rnacentral:misc_RNA from 1 species
GAAAUGCGAUAAGUAAUGUGAAUUGCAGAAUUCCGUGAAUCAUCGAAUCUUUGAACGCACAUUGCGCCCCCUGGUAUUCUGGCGGGCAUGCCUGUUCGAGCGUCAUUUCAACCAUCAAGCCCCCGGCUUGUGUUGGGGACCUGCGGCUGCCCGCAGGCCCUGAAAAACAGUGGCGGGCUCGCUGUCACACCGAGCGUAGUAGCAUACAUUCUCGCUCAGGGCGUGCUGCGGGUUCCGGCCGUUAAACGACCUUCAUAACCCAAGGUUGACCUCGGAUCAGGUAGGAAGACCCGCUGAACUUAAGC